UACGAAGGGGCUAGCGUUGCUCGGAAUCACUGGGCGUAAAGGCGCGUAGGCGGCCAUUCAAGUCGGGGGUGAAAGCCUGUGGCUCAACCACAGAAUUGCCUUCGAUACUGUUUGGCUUGAGUUUGGUAGAGGUUGGUGGAACUGCGAGUGUAGAGGUGAAAUUCGUAGAUAUUCGCAAGAACACCAGUGGCGAAGGCGGCUCACUGGCCCGGAACUGACGCUGAGAGUGCGAAAAGCGUGGGGAGCAAACAGG
rnacentral:rRNA from 1 species